CUGAUGAACUCUAGACCCUAACUUCAUUCCGUGAUCCGGAUGAAGGACCGUACCAGGUGGGCAGUUUGACUGGGGCGGUCACCUCCUAAAGAGUAACGGAGGUGCCCAAAGGUUCCCUCAGGCUGAAUGGAAACCAGCCUAAGAGUGUAAAGGCAUAAGGGAGCUUGACUGCAAGGCCAACGCGCCGAGCAGAUACGAAAGUAGGGCUUAGUGAUCCCACGGUUCCGAGUGGAAGGGCCGUGGCUCAUCGGAUAAAAGCUACCCCGGGGAUAACAGGCUAGUCAGGUCCAAGAGUCCAUAUCGACGACCUGGCUCGGCACCUCGAUGUCGGCUCAUCGCAUCCUGGGGCUGGAUAAGGUCCCAAGGGUUGGGCUGUUCGCCCAUUAAAGCGGUACGCGAGCUGGGUUCAGACCGUCGUGAGACAGGUCGGUCUCUAUCCACUGUGGGCGUAAGUGAUUUGAAAGGAGCUGUUCCUAGUACGAGAGGACCGGAAUGGACAGACCUCUGGUGUGCCAGCUGUCGUGCCAACGGCAUAGCUGGGUAGCUACGUCUGGCAGAGAUAACCGCUGAAAGCAUCUAAGUGGGAAACUCGCCUUAAGAUUAGAUCACUUUUAUCGCAAGAUAGUAAGAUCGCAGGUAGACUACCUGCUUGAUAGGCAGUAUGUGUAAGCGCAGCAAUGCGUUGAGCUAAACUGUACUAAUGAUCGAGGGCUUCAAACG
rnacentral:rRNA from 1 species